CUUAGGCUAUACGACUCUUGUUAAGUUACAAAUUUUGGAAUUUGAAUGUGACUUAAAUUACUGAUAAAAAAUAACAGGUAUGCUGCGGAUUCCCGUGGUCAUACGCUAUUUUUUGGUCAAAAUGAUCUGACCUCUUCCGAGGAUAUACCUGCGUGAUGGCCUAACGAUCCCCACUAUUUGAGGAUGCCCACCGUUUGUCAGCAAAACUAAGAGCGACCAACAUCAGAAUUUUUAAAAUCCGCUCCCAAUAGUAAUCCCAAUCGAGUUUCCAGUUUCCUUCCGCGUAACAUCCUCAAAUAUACUGUCCAUUGUCUGCUCUAAACACGGCCAAUUUACGCGUAAUUACAUAAAAAUCAGAUCGAUCUGCUGAAAAAUUCAAACAGGAAAACAAAUCAAAGAUGGGAAGCCGAGGGGAGUCAAUUGUGGUGGCAAUGGUCAUUACCAGGGUGGUUUCGGUGGUGCCUCGUCUUCUCUCAUGGGAGUGUGGAGGACUCCUCUCUUUAUGUGCCGCUGCUUUAUUCGUCCAGCUCAAAGCAGAACACGCUGCCCACCAAUUUAAAAUCCAGCGCCUUAACCCCAGGCCAGGUUCUUCAUCAGGAAUUUUCUUGGGAGCAGUGACACUGCCUACUGUUAUGUUGUCACGAUUGAUUCAGCUACAGCGGAGCCUUCUUGCAUACGGGAGUGAGAGUCCAGCACUGGAAACUUUGAGGCUGUGUUUUUGGGCUUCCUGUGCAUGCAGCUUGGGUGUGCUUUCUUUCCUUGUGUUUGUUCUAUGGUAUUCCAGGGAAGGAGGAAAUCACCAUUCUUCAGCCAAGAGGAUGCAAGUUUCUGCUAUUGGCAUAGCUUUUAUGGUUGCUUUUGGUAUACAAUGUUCCUUUUCAUUGAUGGGAAACACAGAAUCAGGGCUUUUCAUAUCCAUGGGAAUGGUAUGGCUCCUGCUACAUGCAUUGAUGUCUGGAAUCGUACUGCAGUACAUAAUUCAUAAAUUCCCUUCCUGUUCUUCCAUAGGUGAAACCCUGCUGGUUACUAGUGGGCUAGUUCUUUAUUUGUCUGAUGUGUUAGCUUGUAUCCUAUCUAAGGUUAAGAUGUAUGCUCCAUUAUCAAAUCAAUUUGUUGGAGGACUUAAUGUAAAAGGAGAUGAGAUUGGUAUGAUCGUACAGGCAUUUCUUGGUAGUCUUCUACUGAUGUCAGUGACCUACAACUCUUUCCUCCAUAUUUGGAUCUGUUGCAUAAAACUAAUCAAGGCUCUAGCUUCAAGAAAUGAUGAAAGAACUUCAGAAAAAUUUCAAACUUCCAUUAUGUUCUAUGUGGCUCUUGGGAUAACAUUGAUUGGGCUUACACCGCAGUGGUUAUAUUAUAUCAAAGAUUUUGAAACACACCCUUUGUUGUGGGUUAUUGAUUUUAUAUUGGAGAAACCAAUGGAAAGGUUAGCAGUCUGCAUAUACUGGUUGGCUGUUAUUUGUGUGUCUGUUCUGCGCUUUUACAAUAUUUCAAAGGACAGUAAGAUUGAGCGGAUACUUCUUCGAAAAUAUUACCAUUUGCUGGCUGUCAUAAUGUUUGUUCCAGCUCUUCUCUUUGAUGCAGACUUCUUGAAACUUGCAUUUGGAGCAGCUUUGGCAAUGUUUUUGAUCUUGGAAAUGAUUAGAGUAUGGCAAAUUUUACCAUUGGGAGAUCUCGUUAAUCAAUUCAUGAAUGCUUUUACAGAUCAUCGGGAUUCAGAAAUCAUUAUUAUAAGCCAUUUUUCUCUUCUUCUUGGUUGUGCAAUUCCUAUAUGGAUGUCUGCUCACUUCAACGAUCGUCCUUUAGCUCCCUUUGCUGGAAUUUUGAGUUUAGGCAUUGGAGAUACAAUGGCAUCGAUGGUUGGGCAUAAAUAUGGAGUUUUGAGAUGGAGCAAGUCUGGAAAGAAAACAAUAGAAGGAACAGCAGCUGGUAUAACGUCUGUUCUGUUUGCAUGUUUGGUGCUUAUUCCUUGGCUAACAUGGACAAGCUUUUCUUCAUCUCAGGAUUGGUUAUCAUUGCUUAUUGCAGUGAUUUUUGCUGGUUUACUGGAGGCAUACACAACACAAUUAGACAAUGCAUUCAUUCCACUUAUUUUCUACAGUCUUCUCUGUUUAUAAGACUACAGGUUUUGGGUAUCCCUCUUAUAAAUUGCAAUGCAUUGGGUAAACUUUUUAACGUGACCAGUGAUGACGGGGCGACAUGCCCUCCAGUAUCCCAUGGGCUAGGAGGGAAUUGGACCUUGCGACCUCGUGCCUACCACAAGAAGCUCUCGCUUAUUGAGCUAGGCCCCCAGCCCAACAUUAUUGUUAAUUUAAUUAUAGAAUUUUAUCAUAUUGACUGUUCGGGACAACCACCAGUGUAACUUAGAAGAGUUUAUUUAAGGAGUUUGCACUCUACAUUGUUAUGGUCCAUGUGGAUUAACUUCCGAUUUGGACAGUUCAAACAAGUUGAAUUUUUUGCUAGAUGACCGUGUAACUAUAUACAAGAAGUUCCAAUCUGGAAAGCUCAAACAAAUUGAAUUUUUGGUUAGACCAUGUAACUAUAUGCUCUUGGAUUGUGAUAAGAUAUUCUGAAAUAGAAAUGUUAGUUUCCUUAAGGAGCAUCACCUCCUAAAAACUGCAAAUUAUAAGGAGUCUGCAUUUAAUGCCUUUGUAUUUAUAUUAGUAACCCUUUCCUUUCACCUAUUCAUUUUUAUGCAGUAUUUAAUUUUUUAUAAACAUUUUUUCAAUAAAUAAAUUAUAUUAUGUUAUUUUAA